rnacentral:rRNA from 1 species
UACGAAGGGGGCUAGCGUUGUUCGGAAUCACUGGGCGUAAAGGGCGCGUAGGCGGCCGCUCAAGUCGGGGGUGAAAGCCUGUGGCUUAACCACAGAAUUGCCUUCGAUACUGUUUGGCUUGAGACCGGAAGAGGUGAGUGGAACUGCGAGUGUAGAGGUGAAAUUCGUAGAUAUUCGCAAGAACACCAGUGGCGAAGGCGGCUCACUGGUCCGGUUCUGACGCUGAGGCGCGAAAGCGUGGGUAGCAAACAGG